rnacentral:rRNA from 1 species
UACGUAGGGACCAAGCGUUGUUCGGAUUUACUGGGCGUAAAGGGCGCGUAGGCGGCCAAGUAGGUCCGGUGUGAAAACUCGAGGCUUAACCUCGAGAUGUCAUCGGAAACCAUUUGGCUAGAGUCCGGAAGAGGAAAGUGGAAUUCCUGGUGUAGCGGUGAAAUGCGCAGAUAUCAGGAAGAACACCUAUGGCGAAGGCAGCUCUCUGGGACGGUACUGACGCUGAGACGCGAAAGCGUGGGGAGCGAACAGG